AGCAGUCGCCGCGGUAAUACGUAGGGUGCGAGCGUUAAUCGGAAUUACUGGGCGUAAAGCGUGCGCAGGCGGUUAUAUAAGACAGAUGUGAAAUCCCCGGGCUCAACCUGGGACCUGCAUUUGUGACUGUAUAGCUAGAGUACGGUAGAGGGGGAUGGAAUUCCGCGUGUAGCAGUGAAAUGCGUAGAUAUGCGGAGGAACACCGAUGGCGAAGGCAAUCCCCUGGACCUGUACUGACGCUCAUGCACGAAAGCGUGGGGAGCAAACAGGAUUAGAUACCCCAGUAGUCCCUGUCUCUUAUAA
rnacentral:rRNA from 1 species